ACACUCCUGCGGGAGGCAGCAGUGGGGAAUUUUGGACAAUGGGCGAAAGCCUGAUCCAGCAAUGCCGCGUGAGUGAAGAAGGCCUUCGGGUUGUAAAGCUCUUUUGUCAGGGAAGAAACGGUGAGAGCUAAUAUCUCUUGCUAAUGACGGUACCUGAAGAAUAAGCACCGGCUAACUACGUGCCAGCAGCCGCGGUAAUACGUAGGGUGCAAGCGUUAAUCGGAAUUACUGGGCGUAAAGCGUGCGCAGGCGGUUUUGUAAGUCUGAUGUGGAAUCCCCGGGCUCAACCUGGGAAUUGCAUUGGAGACUGCAAGGCUAGAAUCUGGCAGAGGGGGGUAGAAUUCCACGUGUAGCAGUGAAAUGCGUAGAUAUGUGGAGGAACACCGAUGGCGAAGGCAGCCCCCUGGGUCAAGAUUGACGCUCAUGCACGAAAGCGUGGGGAGCAAACAGGAUUAGAAACCCCAGUAGUCCCAUGAU
rnacentral:rRNA from 1 species